rnacentral:misc_RNA from 1 species
AAAAAUCAAAAUGGCUGACAAGCGAAUCAGGGGCAAUUGAUGAAAAUAUAAAGCCUACGUCUGAAGAAGAGAGUAUCGCAAAGCACUUAAGAUUUAAUCUUGAAACAAAGAAAGCUACUAUGUAUGGUGAUGAAGCUUUUUACUUUUUUGGAUCAAAAGCUGUUGAUUUUCUGUUAGAUUCAAAAUGGGCGAAGGGAGACUCAAAAUUAUCUGUGCAAUUUACUCACCGUGAGUCUGUUGUUGCUUUCCUAACCAAGUA